rnacentral:rRNA from 1 species
GGAAUAUUGCACAAUGGGCGAAAGCCUGAUGCAGCAACGCCGCGUGCACGAUGAAGGCCUUCGGGUUGUAAAGUGCUUUUAUGAGGGAAGAGAAAGGACUGUACCUCAUGAAUAAGGAUCGGCUAACUACGUGCCAGCAGCCGCGGUAACACGUAGGAUCCGAGCGUUAUCCGGAUUUACUGGGCGUAAAGCGCGUGCAGGUGGUUCAUUAAGUUGGAUGUUAAAUCUCCUGGCUUAACUGGGAGUUGUC